GACGAACGCUGGCGGCGUGCCUAACACAUGCAAGUCGAGCGAAUGAAGUUCCUUCGGGAAUGGAUUUAGCGGCGGACGGGUGAGUAACACGUGGGCAACCUGCCUCAUAGAGGGGAAUAGCCUUCCGAAAGGGAGAUUAAUACCGCAUACGAUUGUAGUAUCGCAUGAUACAGCAAUUAAAGGAGCAAUCCGCUAUGAGAUGGGCCCGCGGCGCAUUAGCUAGUUGGUGAGGUAACGGCUCACCAAGGCGACGAUGCGUAGCCGACCUGAGAGGGUGAUCGGCCACAUUGGGACUGAGACACGGCCCAGACUCCUACGGGAGGCAGCAGUGGGGAAUAUUGCACAAUGGGGGAAACCCUGAUGCAGCAACGCCGCGUGAGUGAUGACGGCCUUCGGGUUGUAAAGCUCUGUCUUCAGGGACGAUAAUGACGGUACCUGAGGAGGAAGCCACGGCUAACUACGUG
rnacentral:rRNA from 1 species